CGUCGAUCGUUUGGGACUUAUCAGUUUUAGAGAAAGACAUUUUCAUCGAACUUGAACACAUCAAACCUUAUAAGUCACCUGAAACACCUGAGGAAGAAGCGGGAAAACCCCUGUCCCUCGCGCCCACCCCUCCGGGUGGCAACCACUCCCCCUAUCGAUCGUUCCGGGGUGAAUUAUGUACCGUUGCUGGUUCACUGCGGCUCUUCCUUCUACCCCAUGAGCAUCUCUCCCAAUGAGCGGGUGCAUCUAAAUGCGAGUGUCUUUUAAAGGUUUUUUUUUGUGUGAGUCAUGUAAAAUCCCCUUCACAGUGACACCUUUAACUGUGCAGGGUGAUGAGAUGAAUUGGACCAAUGUCGGGAGUGUCACGAUACGUGGGGAUUUUGACACUCUUUUCCACUAAAUGACUGUGAGUGUGCACACGAUCCUCAUUAGACCUCAUGGCCUGUAAGUGACUGCAAACGACAACCUGUGCAGCGUUUGCAUGCCCUCAGCCAACAGGCCAGUCAUAGUGGUGAGAUUCUGAGAAGGCAAGGUGCCUCCCCGUCCACUCUCACAAUCAAUGGCACAACUGUGUCUCCUCACGCAAACUAUUUUUUUGUGUUUGUUGGUGAUAUAAACAUCCAUCAUUCCUGCUAGUAUGUUAAGAAAACAAAUGAGAAAAGCGAUGACGUCCUGCAUUGAGGGGGUGGGGGAAGAAGUAGUCACAUUAGGGGCAGCCCCUCUACCCGUUUCUCAUUCUGGAAAUUCACAGGUGAGUUUUCAAAUUAGAAUGCAUUUAGAGGAAAAUCAUUAUUAUAACUUAUAUUAUUUUAGUACGUGUUUUUUUUGGUUCAUGU